GGGGAAUAUUGGACAAUGGGCGCAAGCCUGAUCCAGCCAUACCGCGUGGGUGAAGAAGGCCUUAUGGGUUGUAAACUUCUUUUAUACAGGAAUAAAAAGGCUUACGUGUAGGCCAUUGCAAGUACUGUAUGAAUAAGCAUCGGCUAACUCCGUGCCAGCAGCCGCGGUAAUACGGAGGAUGCGAGCGUUAUCCGGAUUUAUUGGGUUUAAAGGGUGCGCAGGCGGGCUUUUAAGUCAGCGGUGAAAUCUGGACGCUUAACGUCCAAACUGCCGUUGAAACUGGGAGUCUUGAGUAUGGAUGAAGUAGGCGGAAUUCGUUGUGUAGCGGUGACAUGCAUAGAUAUAACGAGGAACUCCGAUUGCGUAGGCAGCUUACUAAGCCAUAACUGACGCUCAUGCACGAAAGCGUGGGGAUCAAACA
rnacentral:rRNA from 1 species